rnacentral:rRNA from 1 species
GAUGAACGCUGGCGGCGUGCCUAAUACAUGCAAGUCGAGCGAACAGACGAGGAGCUUGCUCCUCUGACGUUAGCGGCGGACGGGUGAGUAACACGUGGAUAACCUACCUAUAAGACUGGGAUAACUUCGGGAAACCGGAGCUAAUACCGGAUAAUAUAUUGAACCGCAUGGUUCCAUAGUGAAAGACGGUAUUGCUGUCACUUAUAGAUGGAUCCGCGCCGCAUUAGCUAGUUGGUAAGGUAACGGCUUACCAAGGCAACGAUGCGUAACCGACCUGAGAGGGUGAUCGGCCACACUGGAACUGAGACACGGUCCAGACUCCUACGGGAGGCAGCAGUAGGGAAUCUUCCGCAAUGGGCGAAAGCCUGACGGAGCAACGCCGCGUGAGUGAUGAAGGUCUUCGGAUCGUAAAACUCUGUUAUUAGGGAAGAACAAAUGUGUAAGUAACUAUGCACGUCUUGACGGUACCUAAUCAGAAAGCCACGGCUAACUACGUG